GAGAAACCUUCCCAUAUAUUAUUAAAGAAAAUGCUAUUUCGGAGCCUUGAAACAAACAAGCCGGAUCCUCAUCAACUAAAAAGGUCCCAACAGUUUUAAGUUAUGAGAAGACACUGUUUCUCUUUCAUCAAAUAUUCAUUAACAGAGCAUCCAUCGCUCCAAAUUCUAUCUUCACUUCAUCUCUCUCACCGUCUCCUUUAUGCCACCCAUCUAUACUCUUCCCACACACGCUAACACCCUUGUUUCUCUCCUUUCUCUCCCUCUCCAUGAUCGUACUUCCCUUCCCAUGGCAAACCCAAUUGGUUUCUGAUUUCCCUCAUUCUUUCUGCUUUAAUCAUUUAGUCGUAUUUCUCUUUCUUCAAUUUCAUUGUUUCAUUUGAUAGUUGACUGGAUUUCUUGAACGGCAAAUCUGAUGAAUCAAAGACGGCGGCAGAACGGUGAUUGUUCAAUGUAGAAGACCUAUCAUAGCAUGAUGGCUUACAAAGGAUUAGACAUGAAGUAGCACCAAGAUAAAAAUAAUCUGAAUCAAGUUUUGAAGGAAGGAGCUGAAACAAUGUUCAAGCAGAUUGCAUGGGCUUACGAUGCUCUUAGUGAUCCAAGGAAAUGUAAGAUAAUAUGGUUAUAACCACAUCAAGGACAUAAGUGAUGUAGAUAAGUUAGGGAUUUAUGAAGAGGAGACUACAAAGAUGGUUGAGACUACGAGAACAAAAUUAAUGAGUAUC
rnacentral:lncRNA from 1 species